rnacentral:rRNA from 1 species
AGUGGCGAACGGGUGAGUAAUAUAUCGGAACGUAUCCAAUAAUGGGGGAUAACUAAUCGAAAGGUUAGCUAAUACCGCAUACGCCCUACGGGGGAAAGCAGGGGAUCUUCGGACCUUGCGUUAAUGGAGCGGCUGAUAUCUGAUUAGCUAGUAGGUGAGGUAAAGGCUCACCUAGGCUUCGAUCAGUAGCUGGUCUGAGAGGACGACCAGCCACACUGGAACUGAGACACGGUCCAGACUCCUACGGGAGGCAGCAGUGGGGAAUUUUGGACAAUGGGCGCAAGCCUGAUCCAGCCAUUCCGCGUGAGUGAAGAAGGCCUUCGGGUUGUAAAGCUCUUUCGCAAGGGAAGAAACGAUACCGACGAAUAAUCGGUGUUAAUGACGGUACCUUGAUAAGAAGCACCGGCUAACUACGUGCCAGCAGCCGCGGUAAUACGUAGGGUGCGAUCGUUAAUCGGAAUUACUGGGCGUAAAGCGUGCGCAGGCGGUUAUAUAAGACAGAUGUGAAAUCCCCGGGCUCAACCUGGGAACUGCAUUUGUGACUGUAUGGCUAGAGUACGGUAGAGGGGGAUGGAAUUCCGCGUGUAGCAGUGAAAUGCGUAGAUAUGCGGAGGAACACCGAUGGCGAAGGCAAUCCCCUGGACCUGUACUGACGCUCAUGCACGAAAGCGUGGGGAGCAAACAGGAUUAGAUACCCUGG